ensembl:lncRNA
GUGUUAAUAAAAUUAGUUUUAGGUAUUUCAUUUUAAGUACUAAAAGUUUUUAUGUUUUUUAGUUAACUAUAAUAUCCCUGGUGCAGUGAAUGAUUCAUGCACUAUAUUCAAUAUCUUAUAUAAUCAUACAUAUUGAAAUCUAGGCUGUUAUUUUCAAGUAAAUAAACUAGUUUCUGUUCUUUUUGGAGCUUGACAGGCAUUCAUCUCUGAAAGUCCACUGUAUGAAUAAACUGCAUAAAGAUUCUUCAGAAAUUCUCCUUUUAUUAUCCACAGAAAAAAAGAAAUAAAAAACUGUAUACAGAUUUGGAACACCAUAAGAGAGACUAAAUACACAGCAUUUUCACUUUUGGGUGAAUUAAUCCUUUAACCUUGCAAUAUAUGUACAGUAGCUGCUAAUUAGUGUUAGCGAAACAAAUAACCCAGCAUAACCUCCUCGUGUGGGGAAACACGACUUGCACAUUUCUGUUUGUCUGGAACCCUGAGCCGCAUGUCUAAAUGGGAACAUUAAUGGGACCUUUGUUUUGGAUCUACUGUACCAAAAGCCAGAUUUGACUUUAGCACAGGUCUGGUAAGAGCUUCUGGAGGGUUUGCUGUUGCAGUUCAUAGACAUCACAGCGGAUUCAAUGAUGAUGAGACUUUCUAGCACAUAUAAAAGAUGGAAAGACUGUGUUAUUAGUGAUUUCGAGACUAUUUGUAAAGCAAAUGAUGUUAUCAUGUGGAAAAAAUGGCAACUGCAGUAAGAUGUUACAAUUCCAGCAUUGUCAGGAUAUAAAAAUACUGCAGACCUUGGGAUACUAAUUUAUAACAGUUUUUAUUGAAGGCAACAAGAAAAGGCAUCUGCAAUGCAUUUCACUUCCACAAUGUGAUGUAUUUGUGAUUGCAGCAGGAUAUUGGGAAUUGCUUGGGAUGGUGAAAAGUUGGUUCCUUACCUGGAAUGAAAAGUGAGAUUGGAUUAUUAUAGAGGACUUCUUUUCUCCCGAACUCUGGGAUGUAAAGACUGAAGCUCAAGUUUAAACUCCAGAGCAUCUUCACAUAUUUUAAUGGUAAUGCUUGUUUUUUUUUUUUUUAUCUAUUGCUGUAACUUUCGAUAUAUUACCGGUUUACUGUCCUCAACAAUAUUCUUAAAAAUAUAGGUUCCAAAGGGUUUUUUUGCAGCAAUGGCUUAAAGAAAAAUAUUGGGUUCCUCAAAGAAUUCUUAAACAACUUAUUUUUUUAUUUUCUUAGUGUAAAGAACAUUUUAAAAAUCGAAAAGAACCUUUUUUCCACUCUUAAAAAUCAAGGUUCUUUUUGGCAUCUAUGCUUUCAAAAAUGACCUUUAGCAUGGAAUUUAAAUAUUUAAAAUGUUUUUCAAACCAACAAAAAAGGUUAUUUUAAGAACUGUUCACUGAAAGGUUUUGGGGGACCGGGGGGAAGCAAAAAAGGUUAUUUUGUGAUGAUUAAGAACCUUUUGUGUAAUGAAUAGAUUACAGGGAUUUUAAAGGUUUUUCAUGGAACCAGUUUGGACCGGUUUUUGAACACUUUGGACCAUUUGAAAGGCCUGAAUUGCUGAAGCGCUGUCAGAUGGGAGAACAGCAGCAAAGCCUUGUAAAUUCAUGGCUCGUUUUGUGUCUUGUUCUUUAACAUGCGGCCGCAGCUCUGUUCUGAGACGUGAUUUUAUAUGUUACUGUUCUUGUUUGAAUAUUCAUGUGGGACCUUCCAGCUCUGUCUAAGUGUUAGUGUAGCAUCAGAAAGUGUUUUAACAAGAUCAAACUGACUUUGAUAGUGCAAAUAUAUCCGUAUUACUGUGACUAGUGUUCUUUCUCAAAGCUUUCUUCAGUACCACGUGUCUCUCUUUCUGUCCGCUGUCGUUUCCCAUACUCUCCCACAAGCCAUCCAAUUAAACAAGAUUCAAUGAAACGUCAGAUUAGACUGCUGUGGAAUAAAUGGAUCCGGAUUUGUGUCUAUUUCUGCUGACCCAAACCCAACGGAAGCUCUGAUGCCCCUGUGUCCUCUGCCUGUUAUUCAUUUCGUUUCUUUUGUUAGUUUGUCUCGCUUACAGUAACAUCAGGUCAGAUAUCAGAUACCACUGUGUUCUCAUAUAUACCAUGAUUUAGCACACCAUGGUAUGUAAUUGGUACAAAUAGAUGUCACAAUCUGGUUAAAGAAAAAUUGGAAAAAUUGGGAUUAUUGUAACUAUCCCAAACAAGGAAAUGUACUUUUU